CGGGAUCUAAAACCUACUGCUCAGACAUUUCAAAUCGCUCUCAGAUGCUGACGACCGAGGGCGCUCGUCCCCCACUCCCCUGGCGGUGCCCUCCUCCCCAUCGGCGCCUGCAGAGAGAUCUCGGUGAGCGGCCAUGGUGCCGGCAGCGCGGCUCUGCUGCAGGGCCUCACGCGGGGUGUCACGGCUGGCUCGCACGCGCCAAGGGGACGGUCCAUGCAGACUCGCCAGCAAGCCCCUUAGCUAGAUCUUCCUCGGGCAGGCCCUCCUCCAGGUCUUCCAUCAGACCCGCCGCCAGGUCUUCCUCGAGCAGGCCCCUUCGCCGGCGACGAGCAUCACCAGCCUUGGAUGAAUAGGUGGUUUGCAUGAAAUGAAAAGCUAUCAACGCAAAACCAUUCUGGUAGCAAGUCAACUGCAUGAUGCAGUCCACGGCCACGGUGCUGGUAUGAAGCAGCGGUGGCGGUUGGUGGCGUGUAGUUCACGGCGGCGGUGGUAGUGCGAAUCAGCGGUGGUGGUCGGUUGGAUGGAAGAUAGCAAAGGAGCAGCGCGACGUGGCCAAGGAUUUUUGCAUUUUUGUUUGUUGAAUUUGGUGUUCUUUUUCUUGUGUGCAUAAGUUUCUUUAGGAGCACUUCUAUACAUUUUUGUAUUCUUAAUGCUUGUGAGCAUUAGUUUCUAUACAUUGUUGGAGCAGGUCUAUGUUGUUUUUAUGCGACAAAAAAUUCACUUUUUAUUCAUCAAAUUACUAAAUUCUAUGUAAUGCCGGCACGAAAAAUAUUUAAGUGUAUCUUGAUCACUGAAUUUAU